GGUCAGGAAAUUGGCCAGUUGAAAUUGAACAGGAAAUGGUAGAGGUCUUCGUAUAUGAGAUAUAUGCGUGGGCUUUUUCUCUCAUUCCAAGUGAGGCCUGACUACGGUAAAGAGUAGUGCAUUUUGACUAUCAACAAAUCUGCGUAAAUCGCUCCAAAAUUUACUGAAGGAUAUAGGACGAAGGUGAAGCAGGUUUUGUUUGAAUAAUUCACACGAUUCUUUCUAAACGCUUUGGAAGAUGUCCAUUAUUCUCUAACGCGCGUUUACAAAUAUUCGCAGGAAAAUGGAGGAAUUAUUAAGCGUCGAAGAUGAGCUGUUUUUAUUCGAGACUUUUUUGAAAUUGUCAAGUCAGAGUUACAUCGACGAGACAGAAGGGUUUCUCUCUGAGGACGAAAGCGACGUACCGCUGUCACAUUAUUUUAUUUACGAAAAAGAGUCUGAACAAUGUCCAAGUCCAGUGGAAACUAUACCCUCUCCCACCUCACCACAGCAGUUCUUUCCCCAAAUCUACCCAAGAAGCCCCUCCCCAUGUGAAUCACCCACAUCCCUCUUCCCUCCGAUACGAUUAGAGAGCAUUCUCUUCCCAGACCCCGCAACACCUCCACUUGCAACACCGCCACCUACACCCACGCCUCUCCCACCACAGACCCCCCAAUAUACAAUCCAAGAGUUCAAGCCGGAGCCGUUACCCCAACCUAUGUUCUCCCCCCCUCCUCCAGAGGCAGAAUCGGCCGGGGUUCACUUUAUCGACCUCAAAGACCUUUAUGAGAAAGCGCAGGUGAGACGGAGGGGGACCUCAGAACAACGACUGGUCGACUGUCGAAUACACAUGGUUGCCAAUUUCUCCUCAAUACCGAGCAACGUACAAGUCUGGGUCCGAAGAUUUGCUGAGAUCAAGGGAUUUCAAAGUACAGUAGAGUUACCCGUAACCAUCGAAAAAACUUUGCCCAACAUGCAAUAUUUCUCAGUAAAUUUGGAUGCCGUCUACAUGACAUCAUUAGGAAAGAAGUUUUAUCAACUCAGUACGACUGAUAGGUUGAGAAAGAACCGUUUCGUGAUUCACGUCAACUUAAUCUUCGAGGACAACAGUGCAGCACAAUUCAAGAGUGAACCUUUCUUAAUCAGAAGUCGAAAACUGUCCCCAAACCCACGAAAGCCACGCUCCUAUAGCGCCUCAUAAUACUCUGAGGAAUCAUUCAGAGAUAUGCUAAAAAAAGAAAGGAUGCAAAACCUCGACAAAAAACAAACACUCAAGUCAAGAGUUGUUACAAUAAUCAUUUCAGCAAAGAAUGACAUGGACACGGAAGAUAUUCAGUAUAGAGGAUAUUGAAAAAUCCUUGCACGUAGCAAAGCUAAUUAAAUUUAAACCUGGAUUAUCCAAAGGACGUUCAUUACUUCAUUUUUUUUAACGCCAAGUAUCGAGGAGUUUUGACAGAACAACCAAAUCCAAAAGGCUGAGCUAGCGAGCUUAAGAGAAGAACUCAGCCUUGAACUUGGUUAGUUAUGAAUUUCUUGCGAAAAAAUUCUCUGAGCUACGAUUUCUAAAAUGUGAUCCAGUAGCACAAGGAAGUAGUGAGUUUAACUUGCACCAAAUUUAUGACAUGAAACUGGGUUCCUGAUACUACGGCUAGCUCUUCUCGUUUCACGUCCGGUGUCAUAGAUUUGGUGAUUCAUAAACUCGCUACUUGUGAGAUACAAGAAGUGUCGUGUGGGAAGUGAUUGACACGAGUGUUUUACACAGUACGGAGCGAAACGUGCUGCAUUUCAUGUAUCUAAACUACUCAAUGUUUUUAGUGCAAUAUUCUGCGUUUUGUCUGAUAACGACGUACAUUCAUCAGAUAAUGAUGAACAUUUAUCACAUAUCGCCAUUUCAUUUCAGGAUUUUAAGCUGUAAAUAGAGCUUGUUCUUUCUUUCUUUCGUUCUGUUGAAGAUUAAAUGCAAACGUUCAGAGAUUCAUCAUCGUCUGCUGGCGUGUACGUUUAACUAAAUCCAAAAUCAGACGAAGUUAGCUGGGCUGAGAGGAACCUGCUUAUUUCUAUUGUUAAAUUUACCUGCCCGACAUCACUUAAUUAUUUAUGAAACCAUCAGUGAUUUUUGGUCAAAACAAAUUUUACAAGUCAACAAUAUUCUAACAAAGAUUUUAGUAAAAUCGUCUGUUUUGGAAGUCCGGUAUUCUCUAGCAUUAUAAAGGAAACCCGAGAGAAAUGCUCACAAAGGAACAAUACUGAAACCUCAAGUCAAUCAUGUUUCCAAUCUUAAAAAAUGACACCCUCAAGAAAUACAUACAUACUACAAUAAUGCCUGAACAUUUGACCCUAACCGGGUUUCCAAAUCCUCGGAACAAUCAUACAGGAACAUUGACCUCAUCGAUGGGUACCAGACUUCGAGAGAGGAACGUCCGGUUACAUAAUGAAAAUGUAUCGCUGUACAUGUUCAUUGGACUGUUUGUCGCUUUUGUACUUAUCAGCACUUUCGUAAUCUCGGUUGAACUAUAUAAAAGUGGGAGAUGUAAAUGGCAAACUAGAGCCAUGAAAAAAUUUGAUUAUACUUAUGGCAUAUGAGCCGGCUCUGGGAAAAGAAAAGAAGUGCUUAUCUAUUUCCCCAAUGGCUGGCUUUCUCUGCAACUUUUCAAAUUCAUAUUUCAAAAUAUCUGGCAUUGAAAACAACUCAAGAUUUUCUACU
rnacentral:misc_RNA from 1 species